rnacentral:rRNA from 1 species
UACGUAGGGUGCAAGCGUUGUCCGGAAUUAUUGGGCGUAAAGAGCUCGUAGGCGGUCUGUCGCGUCUGCUGUGAAAACUCAGGGCUUAACCCUGAGCUUGCAGUGGGUACGGGCAGACUAGAGUGCGGUAGGGGAGACUGGAAUUCCUGGUGUAGCGGUGAAAUGCGCAGAUAUCAGGAGGAACACCUAUGGCGAAGGCGGGUUGCUGGGCUGAUACUGACGCUGAGGCGCGAAAGCCAGGGGAGCAAACGGG